AAGGCUCCUUCGGGAGUACUCGAGCGGCGCAAGGGAGAGUAACGCGUGGAUAUUUACCCUCAGAUCGAGGAUAGCGGUGGGAAACUACCGGUAAUACUCGAUAAUGUCUCCGGACCAAAGGUGAGAUUCCGUCUGAGGAUAAGUCCGCGUCCUAUUAGCUUGUUGGUGGGGUAAUGGCCUACCAAGGCGGUGAUGGGUACCGGGUGUGAGAGCAUGGCCCGGCUCACUGGGACUGAGACACUGCCCAGACACCUACGGGUGGCUGCAGUCGAGAAUCUUCGGCAAUGGGCGCAAGCCUGACCGAGCGACGCCGCGUGCGGGAUGAAGGCCUUCGGGUUGUAAACCGCUGUCAGAGGGGAGGAAAUGUAUGAGGGUUCUCUCUCAUAUUUGACCGAUCCUCAGAGGAAGUACGGGCUAAGUUCGUGCCAGCAGCCGCGGUAAUACGAACCGUACGAACGUUAUUCGGAAUCACUGGGCUUAAAGAGUGCGUAGGCGGCUUGGCAAGUUGGGUGUGAAAUCCCUCGGCUCAACCGAGGAAUGGCGCCCAAAACUGCCAGGCUUGAGGGAGGUAGAGGUAAGCGGAACUAAUGGUGGAGCGGUGAAAUGCGUUGAUAUCAUUAGGAACACCUGAGGCGAAAGCAGCUUACUGGGCCUUUUCUGACGCUGAGGCACGAAAGCUAG
rnacentral:rRNA from 1 species